GGUUGUAAAGUACUUUUGUUAGGGAAGAAAAGUCAGCUGUGAAUAAUGGCUGAUACUGACGGUACCUAAAGAAUAAGCACCGGCUAACUACGUGCCAGCAGCCGCGGUAAUACGUAGGGUGCGAGCGUUAAUCGGAAUUAUUGGGCGUAAAGCGAGUGUAGACGGUUAUUUAAGCCAGAUGUGAAAUACCCGAGCCUAACUUGGGAGGUGCAUAUGGAACUGGGUAGCUAGAGUGUGUCAGAGGGAGGUAGAACUCCACGUGUAGCAGUGAAAUGCGUAGAGAUGUGGAAGAAUACCGAUGGCGAAGGCAGCCUCCUGGGAUAACACUGACGUUGAGGCUCAAAAGCGUGGGGAGCAAACAGGAUUAGAUACCCUGGUAGUCCACGCCCUAAACGAUGACAAUUAGCUGUUGGNCCCCAUUAAGGGGUGAGUAGCGAAGCUAACGCGUGAAAUUGUCCGCCUGGGGAGUACGGUCGCAAGAUUAAAACUCAAAGGAAUUGACGGGGACCCGCACAAGCGGUGGAUGAUGUGGAUUAAUUCGAUGCAACGCGAAGAACCUUACCUGGUCUUGACAUGUACAGAAGGUUUUAGAGAUAAGACUGUGCCUUCGGGAACUGUAACACAGGUGCUGCGUGGCUGUCGUCAGCUCGUGUCGUGAGAUGUUGGGUUAAGUCCCGCAACGAGCGCAACCCUUGUCAUUAGUUGCCAUCAUUAAGUUGGGCACCCUAAUGAGACCGCCGGUGAUAAACCGGAGGAAGGUGGGGAUGAUGUCAAGUCAUCAUGGCCCUUAUGACCAGGGCUUCACACGUCAUACAAUGGUAGGUACAGAGGGUAGCGAAGCGGCGACGUGAAGCCAAUCUCAGAAAGCCUAUCGUAGUCCGGAUUGUAGUCUGCAACUCGACUACAUGAAGUCGGAAUCGCUAGUAAUCGCAGAUCAGCAUGUUGCGGUGAAUACGUUCCCGGGUCCUGUACACACCGCCCGUCACACCAUGGGAGUGGGAGAUGCCAGAAGUGGGUAGGGUAACCGAGAGGAGCCCGCUCACCACGGUAUGUUUCAUGACUGGGGUG
rnacentral:rRNA from 1 species